UCCGUAGGCGGGCAGCUCAGUCAGUGGUGAAAGUUUGCAGCUCAACUGUAAAAUUGCCAUUGAUACUGGUUGUCUUGAAUCAUUAUGAAGUGGUUAGAAUAUGUAGUGUAGCGGUGAAAUGCAUAGAUAUUACAUAGAAUACCAAUUGCGAAGGCAGAUCACUAAUAAUGUAUUGACGCUGAUGGACGAAAGCGCGGGGAGCGAACAGGAUUAGAUACCCUGGUAGUCC
rnacentral:rRNA from 1 species